GUUGAUCAUGUUUGUAUUUUAUCCUUUUAAAUCAUUAAAUUUAAAUAUUUUAAAGUAAGUUUAAUUUUAAAUAAAAUAUUUUAAAAUAAUUUUAAAACGAUUACUGACGUUUUCCUGUGUCUGUCAUUUUUAGGAGAGCGGGGCACAGGUUGGGGUGAACACGGACGGCGCCUCGGAGCCUGUGCGGAGGAAGAGCCCGGCCCGCCGGUCCUCCAGCCUCAGCCUCCUGCCGGGCACAUGACCAGUUAAGCGCCUCCUGCUCUGCCAGCCCCUGUCCACUGCGAGAAGAUGCUCCUUCUGCUGGAAGGGAUGGAGCCCAGCAGGAAGGCACCUGGCGGGGAGCCGCAAGGAGCCCGGACAGGUCACAUCCAUCCCGGUCAAGGCUGCGGCCCCCCGGCCCCCAGGGACACGCGCCGAGGCUCCCCGCGGCCGGCGCUGCUCACCCGCAGGGUCUGAAGGGCCAGGGCAGGAAGCGGGGUUGCAACAGCAGCCCAGGGCCUGGCUGGAGGGGCUGGGGUGGCCCUGCCCUCGCCUCCACCCCGUUGGAUCGCUCCCUUCCCACGGGGCGUCUCACCCGUGUCCGCCAGGCGGCCCGUGGGGAGCGCGGUGCCCGGGAGAGUCUCAGGGAGGGGAGGGCGUGGGAGGAGGACAGCUCCCGGCCCAGUGUCCUCCUCCUCCCUGACCUGGAAAAUGGGAACCUGCUGAUGUCCAUACUCUGCAAUCCACUCAGCUUCCGGGUCUAGACUCACAGUCUGUAACCUCUGGGAGGAGGUCCAGGAAUGGAACCAUCCGAGAUGGACUCUCUAAUAUUUUCUGGGAGGAAUCAAGGGACUCCAAUGCUGGAAGCAAGGCCCCUGGAGGACCUCAGGGUGGUGCUGACAGCCCUUUGUGACUCAGGGACUCACCGGUGUCCGCCCAGGCAGUUCCCCUUUCCGUCGGCCUCAGGGAACUGCUCAGGAGAUCUUCUCAUGAGAGGAAUCCCGGCUGCUCCACAGACAGGUGCCAGCGUUCAGACCCUGAGGCUGCCUCUGGCUCCGCAAGUGUGGAUGUGCCCAGGCAGGUCUCAGGACGGAGCCUCGAGAAGCAGGAAAGGCCGUGUGGAUGGAGCCCCUGGGGACGGAGAGGAGGAGGAAGGUGGACUGGGUGGAGCAGAGGAGUCAUCUGAUUCACCGUACAGGACAGCGUCCAGCCUUCACGCCGGGACGUCCUCCAGGGACGCCGUCGGGAGUCACAGGCUUCAGGAAGAUUUGAGAUGGGACUGGCUUAGUUUCAGUGGCUACAUGAUGCUCUCAGACCGUGAUAUGAGCUUUGUCGUGUCAUGGGGCAGUUGUAUCCGAUGAUUUGUAUGUCGUGCCUCGUGUGCCGUCCGUCUGGUUUCGUGUCAUGUUCCCCACUCAGCCAUAAAAACGAAUGAAAUAACGUCAUUCACAGCAACAUGGAUGCAACUAGAGAUUCUCACACUAAGCGAAGUUAGAAAGACAAACACCAUAUGAUGUCACUUCUAUGGAAUCUAAAAUAUGUCACAGAUGAACCUGUCUGUGGAACAGAAACAGACUCCCAG
rnacentral:lncRNA from 1 species